AGUUUGUCAGAGAUCAGCUGUUCUGCUCUGAUCUCAGCUCUGAAGUCCAACAUCCAUCUGAGAGAUCUGGAUGUGAGUGCCAACUAUCUCAAGGAUUCAGAGAAGCUGCUGAGAGAUCUUCUGGAGAGUCCAGACUGCAGACUGGAGACCCUCAGGAUCAGAGGAGGAGAGACGAUCAUAGCCACGAUCCAGAAGACCUGUGACAGGAAGUGAAGACACACAGAAAGCAGCAACCUUCUGGGGGCCAGUGUUUAUUACUUCACUGUGGAUAACAGGAAUGUCCUUCUCAAUAGCGAGGAGGAGGAGAUCAGAAAGCCUCUCUUCUGUACAUUGGCUUCUGAGUGUGUCUUUCACACACUGGCAGCUUAGUCAUUUGUUCAUCACCACUCACCUUCCAAAUAAGCCAAGAAAAGCCGGUAUAAUGUGGGACAGUAAAGUGGGAGGUGCUGCUACCUGUCUGUCUGAAGGGACUGCCGAUGUCCGCACCGCUGUGCGCGAGACGUGGAGGGAGGGAGAACAGCGGAACUUCACAGUCUAAUCUCCCGACCUGAUAUUUUUAUUUUUUAUUCAAUCAAUAUAUUUUUGGAAAGUGUGCGCAAACAGCAGUAGAUACAUAUUCAUUUAUUUAAAAAAAUAAAAAAAUAAAAAGCACCCCAUAAAAAGGGCACUUUCUCUGGAGGAAGAAAAAGGGCAGGGGCUCAAGCCCACUUUGAGGUCUAUGUGUGCACGUGCCUGGCUCUAACGAAGAGUGGGUUUAAAGGAACAAUAAAUAUGCCAUUUUGUGUUUUU